AAGCAAACCGGUUCUAUCGCUGUCUCCGUUUGCGAGAAAGAGGAAAGUCCGGGCAACAUAGAGCAACACGCUUCCUAACGGGAAGGCUUCCUUCGCAGGAAGACAGCAAGUGCCACAGAAAAAAUACCGCCUAUUUUCGAAUAGGUAAGGGUGAAAACGUGAGGUAAGAGCUCACGGUAUUGUAUGGCAACAUGCAUUACGGUAAACCUCGUGUGUUGAAAAACCAAAUAGGUUACGAAAUUCGAGGGCUGCUCGCCUUCUGUCGCCUUGGCGGCGUUCGUAAUGGGUAGGUUGAUGGAGCUUGUAUGCGAAUGCAAGCCUAGAUAAAUGAUAGAAAUCCUGCAAAGGAUACAGAACCCGGCUUACAAGGUUUGCUUCUUU
rnacentral:RNase_P_RNA from 1 species